UACGAAGGGGGCUAGCGUUGCUCGGAAUCACUGGGCGUAAAGCGCACGUAGGCGGAUUGCUAAGUCAGGGGUGAAAUCCUGGAGCUCAACUCCAGAACUGCCUUUGAUACUGGCGAUCUCGAGUCCGGGAGAGGUGAGUGGAACUGCGAGUGUAGAGGUGAAAUUCGUAGAUAUUCGCAAGAACACCAGUGGCGAAGGCGGCUCACUGGCUCGGUACUGACGCUGAGGUGCGAAAGCGUGGGGAGCAAACAGG
rnacentral:rRNA from 1 species